AAUCUUGAUGGCUGUAGCUUGUCUUUAUAUCUGUAGAUCUCUUUGCCUGUGUUGGUUGUACUCUUGUACUCUUUCCUUGUUAUCUCUUGCAGAGAUAUAGCUCUCUUCGACUGUAGGUGCUGCCAUCUAGCUCUUGCUUCUGUGAAUUUUGAAGUUCCCAAUAUUAAUUGGGGUCACUUUCUCUCUGUAUAGCUAGAGUUUUCCUUUAUGUUGCUAUAGUCCUCCCUGCCUGUAAGGGGUGCUGUGUAGCUGAAUCAUCUCUUUAUCUGAGAGAUGUUUUUAUGUUUACAUUUGAUGAAUGUACAGAUUUCAGGGUUCAGUUUUACAUUUUCUCUUUGUGCCAAAUGAGAGGCAGAACCAGUCUUCUGCCAUGACCUAGCAGCAAGUUUAUUUGUCCCAAAAAAGGUGUUUUCUCUAUUAAGUCAAAGGGGAUGCUGUAUCUGAAAUGCCUGUGACCCAGCCAGUAGUGCAACAUUAAAAUUACAUUCAGAAAAAAUGAGCUUCAAAUGAAAACAAAAACAAGUGUUUAGCUUUACAAUGUCUGUUCUACAAAGGUGCCAAAUGUCUUUACUGUGCAGUAGAAGUGAAGUGAUUGUAAAAAAAAAAAAAAAAAAAAAAUUCCAUGUGCCAUUAUAGAAAGUGUGCAAAUGCGAGGGCUACAUUUUGAAUCCAAAAAUCUGGUCCUGAGAGAAGUGUUACAUGUAAAUUCUGGCGUGCUGCAGUAACCAGCUGACAUGGUUGCUUAGGAGGGGUCAGGGACUGAAGCGGUCCAUUAAAGGACAUGGAGACUGAAUAUGCUGCUUAGUAUGUCAUAUGUAAUGUACUGUAUUUUGCAUGUGUUCAUCUUCAUUUGGGUUUCAACAUGAAGAGAGUUUCCCCAAACCUUUUGGCUAAUGCUGUGCAGAGGUCCUUUUCUUCAUUAUGGGUCUCUCCCAGUGGGUGGCUGGGGCAGGGUUGGGGGUUGAGGGAGUGGUUUUUACUGUUUGGUCUUGUCUGUCAGUGCUUCAUUACUGCUUCAAGUAACCAUAGUCACUUCUGCAAGUGUCCAGUAGCCAUGCUUGGGAGAAGAGCUAUAUUUCCUCUCUGACUUUGGUUCAUGUGCCAAGAGAGGUGUUGAAUUUGAAUAUCACACUUUCUAGGAGGGAGAUGCUGAUGUUGUAAAAGGAGUGCCAUUGCCACAAUAGAAGGGCUCACCCGGUCUGUUGCCAGGAUGCUUUUUGUAUCGCUACACUGUGCCAUGCUUAUAAAGGUGCCAACAUGUAAGAUGAAGCAUCUGGCUGUGUUUACAAAGACGGGGACAUGUGGCGAUUUGUUUUUAAAUUUGUUCUCAUCUUCGCUUAGCUAAUCCUGAGUUUGGAAUACAGUAGAUCGUCUCCCUGCUUCACCUUCUUUGUACAUUGUUCUGGUCUGUGCUGUAUUUGGCUUCACUGUCAUACCAAAUUCUAUCUGUAUGUUUUUAUUACAUGCAGCAGCCAACAAAAUGCAGGGUGUAUCCUUUGUUUUCAGCUACCCAUUUGGGUUUAUGCCUUGCGAGUGGGUGCUGGUGCACUCAGCUAUGAAUCAAUUCAUUGGACAUCUAGUCAAAAAUUCACGAGGGAAAAGUCUGCUUGCAAGCGGCAUUUGGUAUAACCUUAAACUGAACCUGUGAAUAUGCAUUAUGAAACACAAUAGGCUUCUCAAUUGGACUAGGUUCACCUUCAAAUUAGAAGUAGGACCUGUGUGCACUUGGAAAUCAGAAACAACCCAUAACAUUUCUCCUGAGAUUUUUGUCUCAACUUAUGGGAACAAAUGGUUUUUCCUUCUUUGGCAGCCUUAUUCAGGCAACUCCAGGGAAAUUACUGGGAGGAAGAGAUCUUGCCCCACUGUUUGCUUCAGGCAACCUUUUUAUUAAUGAUGCAGAGGUGAAACGGUGGGAACACUGUUGAGGUGUGAAGCUCAUCUCUCGCUUUGCUGUGGCCUGGAUAUUUCACUUUUUUUUUUUGUUUUAAAUCAAGUGUGAUUCUGGUGGCAUUUUUAUUUUCUGAUUGUAAUGAAAGGGUUCUUAAGCAUUAACACGAUCUUAAAAUGUAGAGACUUGGUGGCCCUUGUUUGUGAGAAUGGCAGGUCAGUUCUACCAUGUCUGAUCUUAUUGAAAUAGGUAGGGAUGGACUGGUUACGGAUUGGCUUUAAAGAUAUGUUAGUGUGGUCUGGAGAGAAUUAGAUAUGUGUUCCCCACAUUCUAAAGAACUUGCAACAUGUUUGAAAAGGAAGUGGUCGUGGGUACUUGGUAGACCUGUUGUGAUGUAUUGAAAAGAAAUGGUUAACUUGUUAUGAAGGUAUGGAUAGGAUGAUACUGUUGGCUGGUGCUUGUUUUGUGAGGGUGACAAGCAUCCCUUUGUUGACUUAGUUUUUAUGUAUAGGUGGUAUCAAGAGGCAGAGGCCCCACACCAUGAGUGAAUCACUUUGCGUGGGAGGCUGUUAUUUUGAGCCUGGUUUACGUGAUUUUUGUCUUUUUUGGUGUCUCCCUCUCUCCUCAGUGCCCUGUUGCUGCCCUCAUAUAGUUCUUUAUUUAAAAAGGACUGCUUAACCCCAGGCUUCAGAAUAGUGGAUCAUUUAAAAAUCCAUUUGAAUGAAAGCCACCUUGUUUUGAAAUGCUGGAAAUAGAUGUUAGCAGCAGUCUGGAGCUAAUCAUUUUGAGGGAGAGGGUUAUAUUUUUCCCUGCUUUAAUGUAGGGAGGGAUGCUGGCAUUGUAAUCCACAAUGGAUUAUUUGUAUACUCUGUAUUAUUAUUAUUACUUUUAAUAUUCCUACAAAAGGGGGGGGGGGUUGGGGCUAAAUUUUUUCCAGUGGAUAUUUGCCCAAAACCACAGCAAUGUGCCAUUGUCACUAGUGAGUAGCAUCUGUGCUGUGCUUUGCUAAUCUAGAGCGAGGAUUAUAUGCCUUAAUUUAUUUACAUUUGUACUUAUAGAUAUAUAUUAAUUUAUUUGUCUGUCUGUUAUUUAUUUAUCAUAUUUAUUAACUUAUUUAUUAAUUUAUUGAAUUAUUUUAUUAGCCAAAAAUAUUUCUAACAGUAGCUUAUAUUUAGAGUCUGCCUUGCAUAGAUUACUCAAUUGCAUGUUUUUAUGUCUGUAUUUUCUCUCUAAGUGGGUAAAUGGCAUGUGUUGUUUGAUGACAAGCUUCCGCUGUAUGUUUCUGCCUUCUAGACCAGUCUGUGUAUCUACACAAUGCCAUGGUGGAGUAUAGGUCAUGAGUGGUCAGGUUUUAAAGGUAAAACGUUUAAUUUUAAUAGUGGAAGGUUACUUGAGCUUUGUAGUAGAGCUCUGAAGAAAGUUAUAUUAACACUCUAUAGGCCUUUCUAAGGUUAUUGAAGCUCUAACUUGAUAUCAGAUAUGUCCUUUCCCGUAUGCUGUUUGUGAGCACUCAGACUCAGUAAUGCUUCUGAGUUGAGAUGGAUUUAUUUGGCUUUAGUUUUGCUUUCUUUCCAAUUGCAGUUUUACAGGAGUCUGCUGGAACCUUAGUGCUGUGUUAUCGGCUGUUGGACAGAAACACCUUGGACGGGUUAAGGUUAGGAUGAAGGUCUGAAAUGUCAUUGUCAUGGAUCAUAGUUUUAGAAAAGUACAAAAGAUCUUACUGCCUGAUUAGUACAAUUAGGGUUUGUUGACUGACAGUCUAUCUGCAAAGUAUGGUAUCUUGGUGUUCACAUGCUAUAUUUUUCACCUUCAGUAGGCCUUUGUCAAAUGUUUUAAUUGCCUUUCUGAAAGUGCUGAAACUCCUUGCUAUUAUAGGUUCAUCACCAACACAACUUUCUGAACCUUUCUGCUCACGAUAGACCUUUUAACUGUUUUAGUAGUUAACCAUAGAAGUUAAUUUCUAUAUUAUAUGUUAUUUUCUGGAUUCUGCGUAUACUAUAAUAUGAUUGGAGAAUGGAGUUUUCUAUGCAGAAACGUAAGAGUACACUAACAAUAGAGCUUUUUGUUAGAUAAGAACCAGUUUUGUUGAGUACCUCAUUACUGUCAUACAAAAGGCAAUGUCUCUUUCCUGAAGAGGGACAUGGGACUGCAUAUGAUGUUUUUGAAUAUUUUGAGCAAAAGAUCAUGUUGUAAAAGGGUUCACCACCUUGUGAAGUUUUGUUUGAUGCCUUUUAUUCUUGAAGAUGAGCUGCUUAUAAUGUAUUCAUUAAAUGUGGAGGUUAAUAGCCUCCUGCUGACUUGUUCUUUUGUAAGGACUUCAUUCAGUCCACACCUUUACUAUGGAUCAGGUAAUUGAUAAUUAGAGUGUUAGCCAUGUCUUAUGACAGUUUCUAAACUUUUGCAUCUUGUUUGACAGAACCUAAAAUGUUUUAUGAAACAGUGUCAAAAGGAAAAUAGAAAUCAAUGAAGAUUCAUUGCAUAUAAUGCGUUGUCUUUUCAGAAUUUUUUACACUAUAUUAGCAAUUUCAGGUCAGUGUAUCCUGCACGAUAAUUGUUUUUUUUUUUUUUUGUCAUUUGUUCUUCAUUCUUCAUUUUUUCUAUUAUAUUUUUUAUUUUCAUAUUUUUCAUACCUGACAAAUGUAUAGUGGCUGAAGAAAACACACUGAUUCUUUGCAAAUGCAUUCCAUGUCAAAGUGGCUUUGAAAGCAUAAGGUAAGGGCAGCUUCACCUCUAAGUCACUAAAUUUGGACUUUUAUUAAAUUCAAGUCCAACUUGAAUUUGGUCUUGUUGUAUAUGUUGCCUUUUCUGAAGACCUCACAGAAUUCACUUCAUUAUUGUGGUGAUUAGCAGUUUGUUGAUCUGAUCUACAAGCUUUUGGGUUGUUGAAAGCAGUCAAGAGUUGAGUCUUGUUGGGUGUUGGUGAUGCAGGAUUUAGUGACUGUAGGGGAAAAGGCUUAUACACAUUUGUAGCUUGCAUAGUGUCCCAAAAGGGAAUAUAAUGGAGUGAUAAGAGGUGGAAACGUGGCUUGGGGAAGCAAAUUGAAAGACUGUUUAUGGUCAUUGAGCUUUCUCUAUUUCUCAAAACUAAACAAAGCAUUCUGGAUCUUUUUGUAUUGUAGCUGAACAUAGGAUGAGCAAGCUGUGCAGUAUGUUGUUUAAUGUGCAUGAUUAAAGAAAACUAAAGAGUCCAGGACAAGGUCCAUUUAGCAUUAAUUUUUGAUGACCCCCAGCUUUUUGGUCUUUUGAAAGGAAGACGGAAAUACUGAAGAGAAUAAUGGAAUGGUAGAGCCAAACCUUCAGAGAUGCAGUUCUUAUCUUGCUGACAAUAUAGAAUAUGUAUUCACGUGGUCCAGGUUUCUAAGGGGUAGAUGCACGGCACACCUUGUUUUACAGUGCAUUUGUGGACUUGUUCCCAAUCACAUUCAGCUGCUUAGUUCUGGUGCACACAAACACACACAUAUAUAUAUAUAAUAUGUAUAAUAUACACACACACACAUACACAUUUGUGUGUGUGUGUGUAUGUGUGGUUGUAUAAUAUUUAUGAGACUGAAACAGACAAUAGAAAGGUCCAGAUUUGUUUAGAUGGAAAUUCCCUGUGUGGGAUUGUGAGAUUUAAUUUUCUUUUAUAUUUUUAAAAUUAUUUUCUUGAUGUUUCUGUUUUAUGGAAAUUGGAUUAUUGUAUUAUAAUAUACAUAUAUAAAUGUAUAUGCUGUAACUGUAGAUUGGAGCUCGCUUCAUUUCACAGCUGUUUCUACUUUCUCUGUAUGGAGAUGUAUAAGAACAAGAUGAGACCAAUGAAACACAGCCAGGAGAUGCUGUAUCAUACUUAAUUGUGCACUGAACAAUGUAUACUUAAUAAAGUUCAAAAGACAGCACGUGAUGUUGGUUUGCGAGUACUUUCUCUGGCAAGUGAGUGUGCAUGAGAAGAAUGGGUCUGUUAUGCUUGAGUUGUUAUUGAUACAGUACUUGCUGGCAUCUGGUGAAGAAGAAUCAAAAAUAAUUAUGUACUGCCUUCACUGUCAAUUAAGCCAGCCUCUUGUUUUAUUCCUCCUUGUCAUGCUUAUUGUCACAAAUUCAGACCAGAGUACACAAGAUUUUCCAGCAACAGAUCCCAGCUUUUCCUAAGGGAUUCUAGGACCAGUUGUGUGAUAUAAUCUGUUCAGUUUGUCAUUCUGUCCCAGAUUCUCUUCCAGUGAGCUGUGUUCAGUACUUAACUAGCAAGAGGCACUCUGGAGACGUGUUUACCAAAUGCCCAAAACAGCUAACUUACUUUUGACGGUGGAAUGGCUCAAACCCAGUGUCAUACUGCAUCGUGAAUCUCCUUAUGCUGCAAUGAACAGCAAGCUGAAGAUGGCAGCAUCCUUUAUAUGGAUUAGCAAAAUGUGAAUUUUACUUCAAAACUCCCACUUGACUCCUGUGGUCUGAUUUAUUGAAGAUAACCCUGUAGCCAUCUUCUAAAACAAUUAAGCAGCAUCAGGCAGACUUUUGAAGAAUUCUAGAGACAUACAAAAGAUC